rnacentral:lncRNA from 12 species
UGAUCCUUGGUGGUCCCUGGUUAUAAUGGCAUCCCUGCAGUCUCUGCCUCCAUCUUCACAGGGCUGUCUUCCAUCUGAGUGUCUCUCUCUUCUUCUUAUAAGGUCCUCAGUCACAUUGGAUUGGCCCACCCUGCUCCAGCAUGACCUCACCUUGACUAAUGACAUCUACAAUGACCCAAUUUCCAAGUAAGGUUGCAUUCUGAGAUGCUGGGGAUUAGGACUCCAACAUAUCUUUUCAGGGGACACAACUCAACCCAUAACAGAUGUUUUUUUUUUUACUCUGUCGAGGUUGCAAUCAUGCUUUCAGAACCAGAGAUCCAUUUAUUCAACUUGUCCAUAAUAAUUAAGCACCUGCAUGGUAUCAUGCUGAACUCAGGAAUUUAAUGGGGAGUAAACGGAGAGUAUGCACCUGCUGGAGGCAGCACCAGACACAGGCCUCUUUGCUGUGGGAGACAACCUCCCCACUUUUGCUCUGGGAGCCAGGUCUUCUCCGGGGAUGGAGUGCUGGCUGCCAAAACAGCACACUCCACGGACUGCUCUGGAUCUAACAGCUUGCUCUUGCUCGGUGGGACCACCUCAGGCAUCCACUGGCACCUGCCCAGGAGAGGUUACGAGCAAAAUCUGAGUUCUCUGUGGUAUUUCAUGCCCCAGGAAGAUGUGGGGAUGGUGCUGGAGAGACACUGGAGAGCUGAAUGACCAGGACCUCUCUGAAGGAUGAAGAUAAAUGGCUUAUAGUCAAGGAUUUGGGGUUGCUUGUAUCCCUUUGGGGUCCUUUGUAUCCCCCCAAAGGUGGUACCCACAUCCCAAUCCCUGGAAUCUGUGAAUGUUUUCUUAUGGCAGAAGGAACUUGUCAGAUGUGACCAAGGUAAGGAUCUCGAGGUAGGGAAAUUACCCUGGAUUGUGUGGGUGGACACUAAGUGUCACCUGAAGGGCCCGUGUGGACAGGGCAGGGGAAAAAUGGACCAGAGAAGGAUCAAUGUGACCUGAAGCCAG